CUGCAGUAGAGCACAGCACACAUUUAUAUGGCCAUCUAAAUGAACAGAGCUGAAAGACUCAUAAGCAAUGCCUCUUUCACUGAACGUGCCACUGACAGGAGAUGCUGGGCCAUCAAGAAGGCUUGGAACUGGCAGUGCUGCGCUGCUCUGCCCUUGUAAUUCCCUUGUGCCGUGUUCCAGGAGCUGGGGAGGUGCUCAGCGACAAACACCACCGUACUGCUUAGUGGAGGAGCAAUCUCUUCUUUCUUGAAAAGCUGGGUGCCAGUUAUCUGAGCAUGUGCCAGGAGAUGCCUGCAUCCCCUUUUCUGCCUGUGUUGUCCUGAGCUGAAAUUAAAGGUGCUGACACAAACUUUACACAAGAAAAGGU